rnacentral:rRNA from 1 species
UGUAUAGCAAUAGCUGAUUGCACCAACAAAUACUUGAUGCAAUAUUGACUCUGUCAAAUAAAAUUCUAGGUAGAACUAUGAUAAUGACAUCGUCUGCCUAUGUGUCUUGACCAAAUUACGUGCCAGCAGUCGCGGUAAUACGUAGAAGACUAGUGUUAUUCAUCUUUAAUAGGUUUAAAGGGUACCUAGACGGUAAAUCAAGCCUUCACAGGGACUAAUUUACUAGAGUUACUUACGAGGGGGUAUUAAAGUACUGCGGGUGUAGAGAUGAAAUUCUGUCAUACCUCAUUUCAAAAGAAAAAUUAUGGCACAGGUAUAGGUGAAAGCAUCCCCUUAUGUGAUAACUGACGUUGAAGGACGAAGGCUUUGUGUCGCGAACAGGAUUAGAUACCCCAGUAGUCAAAGCAGAAAAUGAUGAAUGUCAUAGAUUAGAUAAAUAGUUUAUUCUAUAAAUGAAAAUGUAAGCAUUCCACCUCAAGAGUAAUUUGGCAACAUUGGAACUGAAAUCAUUAGACCGUUUCUGAAACCAGUAGUGAAGUAUGUUGUUUAAUUUGAUGAUCCGCAAAAAACCUUACCACAAUUUGAAUAUUUAUAUCUAUCUUUUUUUUCGUAAAUAAAUAAAAAGGUAAUAUAUUUACAAGCGUUGCACGGCUGUCUUCAGUUAAUGUCGCGAGACUUUGGUUAGUUCCAUUAAAUUAACGUAAACCCUUACUUUAUUUUUAUAUGAAGUAGUUCCCCGCUAUAUUGGAUAUGAUAACAGGGACUAA